UACAUAUGCACUGAAAGAUAAGAGCAGGAGUAGUUGUUUAGAUACCUAAACGUACAUAACACGCUGAAAGAAUGAAUAGACCAUUUCGUAUUUCGGUCUCGUAUCGUAAUUAGGUGAAUUUUCAUAAUCAAAAAUGACAAAAUCAGCAGGAAAUGUGAAUCAAGUUCUAUCAUCUGAUGACAGUUGCUUUUAACGAACUGACAAUCGGAAUUGCAAAUGGCUGGGUAGCACCUACAUUGAACGGUUUACGAACCCCCGGAGGCGAACUUUCUGUCACAAUAGAAGAAAGUUCAUGGAUCGCUUCGUUGGAACAUUUUGGAAAAAUAUUCGGAGCAGUGGGCAGAAAAAUUCUACUCACUCCUACUUAAUUGUAAAACUUCGAACAGUCACUUCUAAUAUGAACCGAAUAGCACAUUAUGAAAAUAUGUACCUACGAACACAAAUUAAUCAAUAAAAUAAACCUGUUCUCAAUCGCGAA